rnacentral:tRNA from 1 species
ACCUGGCUGGCUCAGUUGGAGGAGUGUGUGACUCUUGAUCUUGAGGUCAUGAGUUCGAGCCCCUUGUUAGGUG